UGGGCAUACAGUAGCUGAGACAGUAACCCAGCUUUAUUAUUACCCUGUUUACUUUCCAUCUGAUAAAAUAAUAAUUGUAUCCAGAACACCACAUAAGCCUUCCAAUAUUGCUGAAUAGCAUGUUGCAAUUAAUGAACAACCUGCUAUCUAUUUGGGGAGCAAAUUUUAGGGAAGACAGAGGCCUAGGGGAAUAGAAAACGAGAACUCGGAAAACUUUUUAAAAUAAAUAACUCCUGAAAGAACAAAGCAAACCCAUUCCUUCAUACCAAGCUUCUGAAAGCUAUUCCAGCAGCCCCUCCCCCAAAUAGGCACGAAAUUUAUGGAUCUUUUACAAGUAGGAAAAGAAAACGCAGAGACCUGGAAGACCUGUGCUUUUCCCCUUGGAAGAACAGAGGAUCAGCCCGGCUAAAGGAACAGAGAAGACCCGGUUGCCUGCAUUGGAAAGGCAGUAAGUUUUCUCUCGCCAAGGAAA